rnacentral:rRNA from 1 species
GAGUUUGAUUCUGGCUCAGGAUGAACGCUAGCGAUAGGCUUAACACAUGCAAGUCGAGGGGCAGCGAGGGUAGCAAUACCUGUCGGCGACCGGCGCACGGGUGAGUAACGCGUAUGUAACCUGCCCGCAACAGGGGGAUAACCCGGCGAAAGUCGGACUAAUACCGCAUAAAACAGGGGUCCCGCAUGGGAAUAUUUGUUAAAGAUUUAUCGGUUGCGGAUGGGCAUGCGUACCAUUAGGUAGUUGGUGAGGUAACGGCUCACCAAGCCAUCGAUGGUUAGGGGUUCUGAGAGGAAGGUCCCCCACACUGGUACUGAGACACGGACCAGACUCCUACGGGAGGCAGCAGUGAGGAAUAUUGGUCAAUGGGCGAGAGCCUGAACCAGCCAAGUCGCGUGAAGGAUGACUGCCCUAUGGGUUGUAAACUUCUUUUACAAGGGAAUAAAAUGAGAUACGUGUAUUUUAUUGCAUUACCUNGANGU